rnacentral:lncRNA from 1 species
AGAUUUUAUAAAGAAUGGAGGACCAAAAGCAAAGCUGCCCUCCAUCCCGGAAGAGUCCGAAGGACCUUCUACAAAAUGAGGGACUCACGUGGCCUCAGACUCGCUCUCUAGCCAAGGGUAACCUCUAACUUGCUGAGCCUCUAGGAAGACCACAGCAGAUACCCAAGCUCUCUGCAAAAGCUCCUCAAAUUCCAAUCUCUUCUGGACCCUUCAAGUGCUGGGAUUGCAGAAUGCAGGUGCAUGCUUCUGGGUUUAUUGACCCUGUCUGUGCCCUAAGCCUGGAGCCAGCUGGACUUUCUGGAACCCUGGGCAUCUCUGAUGUCAUGAAAGUUUGCCUCAAAGGUGCCAGGAGGGAUUUCUCAGAAGGGGUGACAUGCUGAAGGCACUCAGUAUACAACCCAGAAAGCCAGGGCGUUAAGUCUGUUCUUGGCAUUAGAUGGUGGAAACUUGAAGAGCCACAGAGGAAAGUGCCCUGCCCAAAUUCCAGAAUGGAGAAAGAGCUGGAAAGUAAUGUCUGCAUGCUGAGUGCGGUAGCACACACCUUCAAUGCCAGCGUUCAACCAGAGGCAGAAGCAGGUGGAUCUCUGUUUGGAGCUAGCCUCACCUACAUAGGGAGUUCCAGGAAAGCCAGUGCUACCUAAUAGAGAGAACCUGUCUCAAAAAAAAUAGAUAAUGUGCAUAUAUGUGUAUACACAUGUAUACACACAUACAUAUAGAUCAUUUAUUUGAAAAGGUAUGAGCUGAGUGUGUAUGUCUUAUGCCUGUAAUCCCAACACUUUGGCUGCUGAAGCAGGAGGAUCACCAAGAGUUUGAGGGCAUCGUGUUGUGGUCUGACCCCAUCCCCCAAGAAUAGCUGUAGCUGUUUUGUUUGUUCCAUGCCUACCAGCUAUUUCAUAUUGUUGCUGUAAUAUGCAUGCCAGUCAUUGGCUGGCUCACAGCAAGGUCAUGCUGACCACAUGCCCUGUUAUGUUCUGAGUUAUCUGAGGUUUGUUAAUCUUAAGAAAUUCCACAAAGUUUUAUAUAGGACCCAUCAAGUUAAAGGUCAAUAUGAACAGUUAAGUCUAAAAUGCCUUGAGUCAGUGCUGACCACUGGGUAACACUACCUGCACCUGCAUAUGAGCUCAGUGUGUGUGUGUGUAUGUGUGUGUGUGUGUGUGUGUGUGUUUCUUUAUAAGCCCACCCUGAGAACAGACUGGUACCCCAAUUAGGUUCUCGAUUCCUUUUUGUGGUCCUGAUCUACUCAGUACCAGGGUGUGUGUUCAAUAAACUAUUCAUGCUUAAAUGA